rnacentral:rRNA from 1 species
UACGGGGGGGGGCAAGCGUUGUUCGGAAUUACUGGGCGUAAAGGGCUCGUAGGCGGCCAACUAAGUCAUGCGUGAAAUCCCUCAGCUUAACUGGGGAACUGCGUGUGAUACUGGAUGGCUUGGAUUUGGGAGAGGGAUGCGGAAUUCCAGGUGUAGCGGUGAAAUGCGUAGAUAUCUGGAGGAACACCGGUGGCGAAGGCGGCAUCCUGGACCAAUAUUGACGCUGAGGAGCGAAAGCCAGGGGAGCAAACGGG